ensembl:lncRNA
UGUGGGAGAAGGAGCCAGGCCUGGUGAAGCUGGAGUUAUCUGGGUCCGUUGGAAUCUCACAGGGAGCGAACAGCCACCUCCACUCAGACCCCGCCCCCGGCCCAUUCACUCGGAAUCUCUGGGGCGGAGCUUUCUACCGGCUCCCUGGGCUGAGCCCGCCCGUCUGCUGGCGGGAAGCCAGAGGUCCGGGCUGAGGGCCCUGUGCCACAGGCUCUCAGCACGAUGCCUUCCUGCGCGAGCCCAAACUUGUGUGCCUCAGCUUCCUUGUCGGCUUCGAGGGGAUAAAGAUGCCUGUCCUGGGCUGCCCUGGGGUUGGGGGUGGUGCCCCUGCAUCCCCAAGUGGACGGUGAGCGAGAGGGCAGGAGCCACAGCUUCCUCGGUGCUGCGUGCAGAAGGGGAAGGGCCGUCCGUGGGAACCGGGACCCAGGCGGAAAGGAAGGCCAGGUGUCUCCACUUAUCAUAAGAGUCUCCAGCGUACAGUUCUCGGUACAGUUCUCCAGAGCAGUUGGAGAAACUUUUCCUUCACCUUCAGCACCCAGAACCACCUCAUCUUUGCUCAGCUAGAUCCGCUGGGGCAUAUUCAAACCACCAGACUGAUCCCACCUAAAAUGUCAAUGUCACACUCCAUUCAGAGGCGCAGGACCAGAGUGAGACUGCUCUUCACCUCUCGGCUCCGCUCCAGCCCUCCACAUCCCCUCUUCCGUCACUGCCUUCUGACUCACUCCUCCGUGGGGCUGGAGGGAGAAGGAACAGGGGCAGAGCCGCUCGGGGGGUGCCGGCACAGUGUCUCCUGCCCGUGGAGUCCUGAAACCGGGUGGGUGGUGUUCAAGCACAGGCUCUGCCGCGGAGAUGCCAUGGGGACCCCUUCAGGCCCCGCCGCAGCCCCAGCCGGUGGUCCAGUGUACUCAGGCAGCCAGCCCUCCAAACACCCCUGACCUGGCCCACCCCGAGGGCCAGUAGAAAUGCAGAGUGUGGCCACCCAGGGGACCUUCAGAGCCAUCGCUGAUUGUCUGCACACAAGGCCAGGCCUCCCAAGGACACCCCACUUCUCGUGUCCCCGGGCGCAGUUCUGAAGCUCAGCAAAUGCCCAGCUGAGGGUCUGACCUUAAGGACUGCCUCUGUUGGCUGGGGUGGGAUGGGGGGUAUGCCCCCCCCCACUCUCCACCUCUAUUCCUAAAACCUUGCCUCAGCCAAGCCCCUGUCAGCUUCUAGCAUCCUCUGUGGUCUCGUGGCCUUGGCCUGGGCACUCUGUGUGCUUUGAAAAGUGAGAGUGAAAGUCACUCAGUUGCGUCGGACUCUUUGUGACCCCAUGGACUAUACAGUCUGUGGAAUUCUUCAGGCCAGAAUACCGGAGUGGGUAGCCAUUCCCUUCUUCAGGGGAUCUUCCCAACCCAGGGAUCGAACCCAGGUCUACCUGCACUGCAGGUGGAUACUUUACCAGCUGAGCCACCAGAGAAGGCCAAGAAUACUGGAGUAGGGUAGGCUAUCCCUUCUCCAGCGGAUCUUUCCAACCCGGGAAUCGAAUCAGGGUCUCCCGCAUUGCAGGCAGAUUCUUUGCCAGCUGAGCUGUGUGCUUUACAGGCACCAAUUCAUUGAAGCCUCAUCACAGUCCCAUUUCACAGAUGAGGAAACAGAAGUCACCUGCUCAGGGUCACACAGCUGCUUACUAGCGCAGCCUUAACCCAAUUGCAGGCAGCACUCCUCCUGGCACUGUACUCGUAACCACUCUGCUGUCCUGCCUGGCCCUCUGCUGGACCACUCUGCAAUCUCUGGGCAAGUCUGGAAUGGAGUGUCCAGCCCCUCAUCUGACACGUGCAGGCUCUGUCUUCUCUGCUUCCAGACUUCACCCAGACCCUGGGCAUGGGGGAAAACCGAUGGAUUGGGAGCCCAGGGGUUGCUGGGGUGAAGGAAUAAAGGAGUGGUUAUUCUUAGUCUGGACUCUUAGCCUCCUAUUCA